CGGUGGGCUAGGCCGGGGGGUUCGGCGUCCCCUGUAACCCGAAACCGUCGAUAUGCGGGGGCCGAAGCCGAAGGAAGGCUCGGAGGGCUUGGGAUAAAGACCUCUGGCCCCGUAGAAUCUCCGUCCCGAAGGGUCGGCGGUUACGGCUGGGCUGUCCGGAGGGACUGUCCGCCGUAUUUGCCGGGGGGACCGGCCUAGGCCCGGAAGGGAGCAGGCUAACCCCGGACGUUCGGCGCUUUCGGGGGUGCGGAGAGGAUGGGGCUGGAGGAGGUAGUCCCAAGUCUGAAGAGUCGACCGGAGGCGCGCCCACCU
rnacentral:SRP_RNA from 1 species